rnacentral:rRNA from 1 species
UACGUAGGGGGCAAGCGUUGUCCGGAAUCAUUGGGCGUAAAGCGCGUGUAGGCGGCUGAGUAAGUCUGCUCUGAAAGCCCGGGGCUCAACCCCGGGAGGCGGGUGGAUACUGCUCAGCUCGAGUCCGGAAGAGGAGUGUGGAAUUCCUGGUGUAGCGGUGAAAUGCGCAGAUAUCAGGAGGAACACCAAUGGCGAAGGCAGCACUCUGGGACGGUACUGACGCUGAGACGCGAAAGCUAGGGGAGCGAACAGG